UACGUAGGGUGCGAGCGUUAAUCGGAAUUACUGGGCGUAAAGCGUGCGCAGGCGGUUUUGUAAGCCAGAUGUGAAAGCCCCGGGCUUAACCUGGGAAUGGCAUUUGGGACUGCAAGGCUUGAGUGCGGCAGAGGAGACUGGAAUUCCCGGUGUAGCAGUGAAAUGCGUAGAUAUCGGGAGGAAUACCGAUGGCGAAGGCAGCUCGCUGGAACGGUACUGACGCUGAGGCGCGAAAGCGUGGGGAGCGAACAGG
rnacentral:rRNA from 1 species